rnacentral:rRNA from 1 species
UGUGUGUUAGUGGAAGCGUCUGGAAAGGCGCGCGAUACAGGGUGACAGCCCCGUACACAAAAAUGCACAUGCUGUGAGCUCGAUGAGUAGGGCGGGACACGUGGUAUCCUGUCUGAAUAUGGGGGGACCAUCCUCCAAGGCUAAAUACUCCUGACUGACCGAUAGUGAACCAGUACCGUGAGGGAAAGGCGAAAAGAACCCCGGCGAGGGGAGUGAAAAAGAACCUGAAACCGUGUACGUACAAGCAGUGGGAGCACGCUUAGGCGUGUGACUGCGUACCUUUUGUAUAAUGGGUCAGCGACUUAUAUUCUGUAGCAAGGUUAACCGAAUAGGGGAGCCGAAGGGAAACCGAGUCUUAACUGGGCGUUAAGUUGCAGGGUAUAGACCCGAAACCCGGUGAUCUAGCCAUGGGCAGGUUGAAGGUUGGGUAACACUAACUGGAGGACCGAACCGACUAAUGUUGAAAAAUUAGCGGAUGACUUGUGGCUGGGGGUGAAAGGCCAAUCAAACCGGGAGAUAGCUGGUUCUCCCCGAAAGCUAUUUAGGUAGCGCCUCGUGAAUUCAUCUCCGGGGGUAGAGCACUGUUUCGGCAAGGGGGUCAUCCCGACUUACCAACCCGAUGCAAACUGCGAAUACCGGAGAAUGUUAUCACGGGAGACACACGGCGGGUGCUAACGUCCGUCGUGAAGAGGGAAACAACCCAGACCGCCAGCUAAGGUCCCAAAGUCAUGGUUAAGUGGGAAACGAUGUGGGAAGGCCCAGACAGCCAGGAUGUUGGCUUAGAAGCAGCCAUCAUUUAAAGAAAGCGUAAUAGCUCACUGGUCGAGUCGGCCUGCGCGGAAGAUGUAACGGGGCUAAACCAUGCACCGAAGCUGCGGCAGCGACACUAUGUGUUGUUGGGUAGGGGAGCGUUCUGUAAGCCUGUGAAGGUGUGCUGUGAGGCAUGCUGGAGGUAUCAGAAGUGCGAAUGCUGACAUAAGUAACGAUAAAGCGGGUGAAAAGCCCGCUCGCCGGAAGACCAAG